rnacentral:rRNA from 1 species
UCGGGAAUUUUGGGCAAUGGGCGAAAGCCUGACCCAGCAACGCCGCGUGAAGGAUGAAAUCCCUCGGGAUGUAAACUUCGCAAGAAUGGGAAGAAUAAGUCUCUGCCAAUACCAGAGAUGAUGACGGUACUAUUUGUAAGCUCCGGCUAACUCCGUGCCAGCAGCCGCGGUAAUACGGGGGGAGCAAGCGUUGUUCGGAUUUACUGGGCGUAAAGGGCGCGUAGGCGGCCACAACAAGUCACUUGUGAAAUCUCCGGGCUUAACCCGGUAGCGGUCAAGUGAUACUGUUGGGCUAGAGUGCGGAAGGGGCAACUGGAAUUCUCGGUGUAGCGGUGAAAUGCGUAGAUAUCGAGAGGAACACCUGCGGCGAAGGCGGGUUGCUGGGCCGACACUGACGCUGAGGCGCGAAAGCUAGGGGAGCGAACGG